rnacentral:rRNA from 1 species
CAGGCCUACACAUGCAAGUCGAGCGGUAGCACAGAGAAACUUGUUUCUUGGGUGACGGCGGCGGACGGGUGAGUAAUGCUUGGGAAUAUGCCAUAGGGUGGGGGACACAGUUGGAAACGACUGCUAAUACCGCAUAACGUCUACGGACCAAAGGGGGGAUCUUCGGACCUCUCGCCCUAUGAUUAGCCCAAGUGAGAUUAGCUAUUGGUAGGGUAAAGGCCUACCAAGGCGACGAUCUCUAGCUGGUUUGAGAGAUGAUCAGCCACACUGGGACUGAGACACGGCCCAGACUCCUACGGGAGCAGCAGUGGGGAAUAUUGCACAAUGGGGGAAACCCUGAUGCAGCCAUGCGCGUGUGUGAAGAAGGCCUUCGGGUUGUAAAGCACUUUCAGUUGUGAGGAAGGGUUGUACUUAAUACGUGCAAUCUGUGACGUUAGCAACAGAAGAAGACCGGCUAACUCCGUGCCAGCAGCCGCGG